ACUAAAACAGACUAACCUUACCCCUCAAAAGCCUCCACUGCAUAUUUUUUCAGGUAGUUGACCAGUCGACAUCUCUUUCAAAGACUCGAACCAAAGGCAGCUCUCUUUGUACUUUUCAGCCUGUCUUGUUAAUAUCAUCAUCGCUACCCUGGCACAGAAUCACUUCUGUCCAUACUGACAACACCUCCAAUCCUCCAUCCACACAGUUUGUGUAUUUUGUCAGACAUUUUCAACAAAACAAGUAGAAAAUGAACAAAUAUUUU